rnacentral:tRNA from 1 species
AUUUAAAUAAUUUAAUAUAAAAUAUUGAUUUGUGGAGUCAAAAAUAUGAAAUUUCAUUUUAAAUC